AGACAUUUAAAAAUAAUUAAAGACUCAACUCUUAAAAGCUUUACCGGUUACCACUUUGCUUUCGCCUCUCUCACUUUCACUGUUUAGCAUCUGCCAACUGCCCAGCCAUAACCCAAAUCCCUAAAUCCCAAAUUCCCAAAACGAAGUAGUGGAGUUUUUGGAACGAUUGUGAUUUGAGUUAGUUUGGAUCUGGUUUGGUACUAUUUUAGUUUGUGUUUUGUGAGUUAGUUUGUGUUUAAAUCCAAGUUCUAUUUUGAUGGGUCUAAUCAAUUUGUUGUCUUCCUCUAUCCUCCAUCUCCGGUUCCUCCAUUUCUUCCGGCCCACUCACUCUUCCCUUUCUUCUUCCUCCUAUUUUAUUCCAAAUCCGAGGGUUUAUAGCUCAUAGUGCCUACCGCGAGAUUAGUAGAGGUGAUGUCCUUGUGUAUGCUGGAAUUGGGAGUUAUGAUCUGAUGUUAUGUUCAUGGUCUGAUGUUGUGGGGAAUCUGAUGUUGGGUUCAUGGUCUGGGGGUUUGGAUCUUAAUGUUAUGUUCUGGUGAUGCUCUGGAUUCUGGAAGAUGAAAUGCUCCAGAUUUGAUUUAUGUGUAUAUUGUUUAUCCUUUAAUCAAAUUUGUAUUGUUGAUGAUUUAUGUGCUCUGGAAGACGAGUCUCUGCCCUGGCCCCCUCUCAAAUCUCAAUUCUCAUAUCUGUUACUCUGUUAGGAAGCUUAAAAUGAAACUUAAUUUCGGUUAUUAACCGAAAUAAUCGAAUUAUAAAUUUGAUUAUUCAGUUUUCGGUUAUUUGUAAAUUCGGUUAGUUAUUUUGGAUAUUGAAAUUUAGAAGAUUUCGGUUAUUCGGUUAUAUCUUUGAAUAUAACUGAAU
rnacentral:lncRNA from 1 species